AAGUCGUAACAAGGUUUCCGUAGGUGAACCUGCGGAAGGAUCAUCAUCGAUUUCAUCUCGGGGUCGCCACCAUCGCGUGGCCCCCGAGACCAACAAUCAGUACCACUUGUGCACCGUAAACCGUACACUUUGGCAGGCUUUGGACGUCCCCUGUCGGGGGGCAUCCAACCUCCGUCAGCCCAGCGGGGGAAGGGCGUGAGGCGGCCUGCCAGAGUCCCGCAUCGAAGAACGCGUCUCAAACAUGAGUCAGCCUGAAAAUUAUUUGAGUAAUCAAAUACAACUUUCAACAACGGAUCUCUUGGCUCUC
rnacentral:misc_RNA from 1 species